UACGGGGGGGGCAAGCGUUGUUCGGAAUUACUGGGCGUAAAGGGCUUGUAGGUGGCCAACUAAGUCAGACGUGAAAUCCCUCGGCUUAACCGGGGAACUGCGUCUGAUACUGGAUGGCUUGAGUGUGGGAGAGGGAUGCGGAAUUCCAGGUGUAGCGGUGAAAUGCGUAGAUAUCAGGAGGAACACCUGUGGUGUAGACAGCUUACUGGACCAUUUCUGACGCUGAGACACGAAAGCGUGGGUAGCAAACAGG
rnacentral:rRNA from 1 species